rnacentral:rRNA from 1 species
AUUUAUCUGGCAUGUAUUUAUUGCGCGGCGCGGCGAUCGGACGAGUUCCGGCAUUCGCAAGGUUGCCGCUCGGUUGUCGUCGUCGUGUUCGUGCAGUGCAUUUGCAUGCGGAGUGCGCCGAGUGAGUUGGUCUGCGCUAUCGGAAACACGCACAGAGGCCCAGCUGCUUGCAGUCGGAAACCCGAGCGUGCGGAUGAUCGGACGAGGCCGGCUUGCUUCACGGUUACGAGCUGGUGAAUUCGCGGUUGGCGUAGUGACUGCAUCGGUGGCGUGCUUGGGCACAUGUGUUCGGUACGUCAUCGGAGUCGGCGCGGCGUCCGUUGCUCCUGCUCGCAACUCGGCGUACAGUCGGUCACCCACUCGACCCGUCUUGAAACACGCACCAAGGAGUUUAAGGUGUACGCAAGUCAUUGAGCUUCGACACUCAAAGGCGUAAUGAAAGUGAGACUCUUGGAGUCUGUGAUGCGAGCGGUGGGUGUUUCGACGCUCGCCGUGCAGCAUCGUCCCAUGACUAGGACUUGUCCUGUUGUGGAGGCCGAGCGUACGCUUUGAGACCCGAAAGAUGGUGAACUAUGCCCGAACAAGAUGAAGCCAGAGGAAACUCUGGCGGAAGUCUGAAG